rnacentral:lncRNA from 1 species
GUAACCAUCUAGCAAUGGUGAACCGACAAUCGGAUAGGUCGAAAUGUUGCAAAACAACCUUUUAGAACCUACUGACAUAUGGUUAUCGUAUAAUUGAUCCCUUUGACCUAAAUGCUCAAGGUGACCUAGGGUUUAACUGUCAAUCCUAAUUUAGCCAACCACAUUAUAUUUCAAUCUUUCAAAUCCAUCUCAUGGAUUAUCCUGGUCA